GGGCUCUCUUUGGGAGCACAUAUACUAAGACUGGAAUGAUACAGAGAAGAUUAGUAUGGCCCCCUGUGCAAAGAGGACACAUAAAUUCAUGAAGAAUUCCGUAUUUUU